rnacentral:lncRNA from 1 species
CUCUUUGACUCCUAGUCCUUGCUUGCCAUUGGCCAAACAGUAUUUUAUUCAACAGUCAAUAAGAUAAACAUACAAAGAAGUGCAUUCCCCAUCAAGAGCCCUGCUUAGGAAUGUGAUCAUGUGAGGGUAAUUCUAAGUACUUAUGAGAAAAUUCCAAGGAAACGGGACAAGAGUUUUAAGACCUCAGUUUUUUCAAAACACAGAACUGUGAGCCAGGCAUGGUGCAAGCCUUUAAUCCCAGCACUUGGGAAGCAGAGAGUAUUAAUUGAUGUCCUGGAUGAAGUUGGCUACUGCAUGAGACUUUAUUCUGCCACAUUUAUCGUCUCCAUUCUUCCAUGUCCCACCACCUCUAGAGCAGUGACAAGUGGUAUCUGAAGUGGUAUCUGAAGAGGAAUCUGGUCAAAUACUUGAUAACAGCGUGGGGACCCUCACAGAAGCAUGGUCUUGACCCCUUUGCUCAUCACUCCUCCAUCUCUACAACUGGAUUCAAGGAGUUCAGCUCAGUGCUUAGCUGUGAAUCUCUGCUUCUGCUUCCAUCAGCUACUGGAUGAAGGCUCUAUGAUGACAUUUAAGGUAGACAUCCUUGAUUCUGAAAGACCCCUGCCCCUUAGCCCUUUCUUUCUCAAGUUUGUCUCCUCUUCCUCCUGUUGGCGGCUUCCCCGAUCCCCACCCCCGGUGGCCUUCCCCCGCCACCCGCCGCAUGCCUGGCCCGAGAACAAGCACCAGGUGGGCCGGCCCGAGAACGAGCACCGGGUGGGCCAGCACGAGGGCGAGCACCAGGUGGGUCGGCACGAGAACAAACACCAAGUGAUCCGGCCUGGAGCCCUGCCCCUGAGCCCCCGCCAGAAGAGAAACACUCCGUCCCAAGGUCUCCGCCCCCAAGGUCAGCCAUCAGGAAGCGGAGGGGAGGGGAAUUGAGUCUGCUGUACCAGACACCAGACCUUGAGAAUAUGCUGAUCUGGAAUGGCUCUGUGUCUCAUUUGAACCAUCCAAUAGAAAUGAUUCUGUAUUUCGCCUCAUUUGAAAGACUCUAUGUUUCACCUCAUUUGAAUAACUCUGUACUUUGCCUCAUUUGAAUAACCCUGUAUAGCGCCUCAUAUACAUUGACCAAUGGGAAUAGCUCUGUAUAAUGCCUCAUUAGAAUUAUCCAAUAGAAUCCCUGCUCCUAGCUUGCGCCUUUUUCCCUAUAUAAGGACCCCUUUCCCUUGGCUCGGGGCGCUUAGCCACACAGAAGCUAAGUCGCCCCGGGUACCCGCGUCUCCAAUAAAGCCUCUUGUUUUUGCAUCCAAGUUCAUGGCCUCGCUGAUUCCUGGGUGUGGGUCUCCCUCUACGAAAGUACCUCUUUGGGGGUCUUUCAAUUCUUUUUCAUUUGUUUUGUUGGCAUAGGCUCCCACUGUGUUGCUCGGGG